GAAGCGGAGAUGCACUUAUUGUUAGAUGAAGCAAACAACAAUGAAGAAAUAUAUGAAUCCCAUAUGAGUGAAUAAAUAUGAUGAAAGGAAUAAGCAAACGUUAUACUCUCAUCAUGUAAUUAGAGCAAGAAUCAAUGCUUUAUUUUGUCAGUUCCAUCACCUAUGACUGAUUACAUUCACCGAGGAAGCUGUUGUAUAAGUGAUAUCAGUACCGAGAAAAUGUGGUACUUCAUUAUAUGUGAAUAAAGUAAAUGAUGCAGAAUUUUUUGAGAGCAGUUGACUAAAGAUAUUAUCCAGACAGGAGCGAGAAGAAAGUGCAAAUUUUGUGACAAGCUGACUCGAGAAAUCGAUAGAGAUUAUCGAGUUUUUAAAAAUUGUGCUCAUGCCUAACAAAGUGUUAUUUCGCAGAC